GACGAACGCUGGCGGCGUGCUUAACACAUGCAAGUCGAACGCUGAAGCUUGGUGCUUGCACUGGGUGGAUGAGUGGCGAACGGGUGAGUAAUACGUGAGUAACCUGCCCUUGACUCUGGGAUACGCCUGGGAAACUGGGUCUAAUACUGGAUACGACAUGUCACCGCAUGGUGGUGUGUGGGAAGGGUUUUACUGGUUUUGGACGGGCUCACGGCCUAUCAGCUUGUUGGUGGGGUAAUGGCUCACCAAGGCGACGACGGGUAGCCGGCCUGAGAGGGUGACCGGCCACGCUGGGACGGAGACACGGCCCAGACUCCUACGGGAGGCAGCAGUGGGGAAUAUUGCACAAUGGGCGGAAGCCUGAUGCAGCGACGCCGCGUGGGGUAUGACGGCCUUCGGGUUGUAAACCUCUUUCAGCACGGAAGAAGCGAAAGUGACGGUACGUGCAGAAGAAGCGCCGGCUAACUACGUG
rnacentral:rRNA from 1 species